rnacentral:rRNA from 1 species
CCGUAUCUACGCGGAGGGACAUUACAGAGUUUAAUCUCGCCCAACCCUUGCGUACCUUACCUAGUUGCCUCGGCGGCGACGGGGAGGGGCCGUCAAAACGCCCCCUCCGGCCCGCCGGCGGACGCCUAAACUCUUGUUUAAACAUGUAUUCUGAAAUAAAAAGCAAAUAAGUUAAAACUUUCAACAACGGAUCUCUUGGUUCUGGCAUCGAUGAAGAACGCAGCGAAAUGCGAUACGUAAUGUGAAUUGCAGAAUUUAGUGAAUCAUCGAAUCUUUGAACGCACAUUGCGCUCCCUAGUAUUCUGGGGAGCAUGCCUGUUCGAGCGUCAUUUCGACCCUCAAGUCCUAGUUACUUGGUGUUGGGGCGCGCCCUGCGCGCGCCCUCAAAAGCAUUGGCAGAGCUGGUUAGCAGUCUGAGCGUAGUAAAUCACCUCGCUUCUGAAGGCUAUCCGGCCCCUUCGCCGUAAAACUAUUUAUUACCAAAGUUUGACCUCGGAUCAGGUAGGAAUACCCGCUGAACUUAAGCAUAUCAAUAAGCGGA